rnacentral:rRNA from 1 species
UACGUAGGGACCGAGCGUUGUCCGGAUUCAUUGGGCGUAAAGAGCUCGUAGGCGGCUGCUCAAGUCGAAUGUGAAAACUCGAGGCUCAACCUCGAGCCUGCAUUCGAUACUGGGCGGCUAGAGUCUGGUAGGGGGAUCUGGAAUUCCUGGUGUAGCGGUGGAAUGCGCAGAUAUCAGGAGGAACACCGGUGGCGAAGGCGGAUCUCUGGGCCAUUACUGACGCUGAGGAGCGAAAGCGUGGGGAGCAAACAGG